rnacentral:rRNA from 1 species
ACGUACACUCCUGCGGGAGGCAGCAGUGGGGAAUUUUACGCAAUGGGGGAAACCCUGACGUAGCGACACCGCGUGAGCGAAGAAGCCCUUUGGGGUGUAAAGCUCUGUCAGCUGGAACGAAAACAAUGACGGUACCAGCAGAGGAAGCAUCGGCUAACUACGUGCCAGCAGCCGCGGUAAGACGUAGGAUGCGAGCGUUGUCCGGAUUUAUUGGGCGUAAAGAGUUCGUAGGUGGUUUGUUAAGUUUGGUGUUAAAGAUCGGGGCUCAACCCUGGGACUGCACUGAAUACUGGCAGACUCGAGUGUGGUAGAGGCUAGUGGAAUUCCCAGUGUAGCGGUGAAAUGCGUAGAUAUUGGGAAGAACACCGGUGGCGUAGGCGACUAGCUGGGCCAUAACUGACGCUGAGGAACGAAAGCCAGGGGAGCGAAUGGGAUUAGAAACCCGUGUAGUCCC